rnacentral:rRNA from 1 species
AGGGUUCGAUCAUGGCUCAGAACGUACGCUGGCGGCACGCCUAACACAUGCAAGUCGAACGAAGUAGUAAUACUUAGUGGCAGACGGGUGAGUAACAUGUGGGUAUCUGCCCUUUGGCCUGGAAUAACACGAGGAAACUUGUGCUAAUACCGGAUAAGUCUUUACGGAGAAAGCUUUAUGCACCAUUGGAUGAGCCUGCACUUGAUUAGUUUGUUGGUGGGGUAAUGGCCUACCAAGACUGUGAUCAAUAGCUGAUUUGAGAGGAUGAUCAGCCACAUUGGGACUGAGACACGGCCCAAACUCCUACGGGAGGCAGCAGUGGGGAAUCUUGCACAAUGGAGGAAACUCUGAUGCAGCGAUGCCGCGUGAGUGAAGAAGGCCCUUGGGUUGUAAAGCUCUUUCGUCGGGGAAGAAAAUGACUGUACCCGAAUAAGAAGGUCCGGCUAACUUCGUGCCAGCCGCCGCGGUAAUUC